UCUUCCGAGGAGCGUUGCAACCGCCACUUUAGCUUGGCGGCCAGGCUCGGAACCGUGACAACGGCGCUCACCCGCA
rnacentral:ncRNA from 1 species